rnacentral:rRNA from 1 species
AUACGGAGGGUGCAAGCGUUAAUCGGAAUUACUGGGCGUAAAGCGCGCGUAGGCGGUUUGAUCAGUCAGAUGUGAAAGCCCUGGGCUCAACCUGGGAACUGCAUUCGAUACUGUCAGACUAGAAUAUGGUAGAGGGUAGUGGAAUUCCUGGUGUAGCGGUGAAAUGCGUAGAUAUCAGGAGGAACAUCAGUGGCGAAGGCGGCUACCUGGACCAAUAUUGACGCUGAGGUGCGAAAGCGUGGGGAGCAAACAGGAUUAGAUACCCUAGUAGUCC